rnacentral:rRNA from 1 species
GUCAAUGCCUCCUAAAUGCGUGGAAGUCUUCUAUAUGCACAACCCGCAGCCAAUUCUCUACUGGAGAAACUGUUCACAGACUAACUGGAGGCGGAUUUACUCCCUAUGGUAAAUCCAAAUUAUAGUCGGUCACUCUCUGAAAAGAGAAGUGAGAAAUGUUGUACACACCGCCCGUCGCUACUACCGAUUGAAUGGCUCAGUGAGGCUUUCGGACUGGCUCAGGGAGGUCGGCAACGACCACCCAGAGCCGGAAAGUUGUUCAAACUUGGUCAUUUAGAGG